rnacentral:tRNA from 1 species
GGCUUCAUAGUGUAGUGGUUAGCACAUCUGCUUUACACACAGAAGGUCCUGGGUUUGCACCACAGGUGGAGCCA